AUUGAACGCUGGCGGCAUGCUUUACACAUGCAAGUCGAACGGUAACAGGCCGCAAGGUGCUGACGAGUGGCGAACGGGUGAGUAAUGCAUCGGAACGUGCCCAGUCGUGGGGGAUAACGCAGCGAAAGCUGCGCUAAUACCGCAUACGAUCUAUGGAUGAAAGCGGGGGACCGUAAGGCCUCGUGCGAUUGGAGCGGCCGAUGUCAGAUUAGGUAGUUGGUGGGGUAAAGGCUCACCAAGCCAACGAUCUGUAGCUGGUCUGAGAGGACGACCAGCCACACUGGGACUGAGACACGGCCCAGACUCCUACGGGAGGCAGCAGUGGGGAAUUUUGGACAAUGGGCGCAAGCCUGAUCCAGCAAUGCCGCGUGCAGGAAGAAGGCCUUCGGGUUGUAAACUGCUUUUGUACGGAACGAAACGGUCCUGGUUAAUACCCGGGGCUGAUGACGGUACCGUAAGAAUAAGCACCGGCUAACUACGUGCCAGCCGCCGCAGUAAGAC
rnacentral:rRNA from 1 species